ACUCUCUUCGAUUUGCAGAACAGAAGGGUCACAAAACGCUUUUUGUGCAUGUUCCUCUCUUUUCAAGAAUUGAGGAAGAAACUCAAAUGCAAUUUGUAGCGUCCCUUUUAGAGGCUAUUGCCGCAACAUGUCAAUAAAAUUGAUCUGAGUGUUUGUUUUUCUGUGUUCAUGUUUGUUUAUCAUGUGCUGAUGCUUGUACAUCAACUGCAUCUAUAACAUAAACAAUAAUAAUAGUAAUAAUAAAAAGGGA
rnacentral:misc_RNA from 1 species